rnacentral:ncRNA from 1 species
UAAAGUUUUAUUUUAGCUUAAAAUUUUGUUAUUAAUUUAAUUUAUAUGCAAAUUUUGGUAUGGUUAUUUAUUUAUUUAAAUAGUAAAUUACUUUUUUUAUUCGCAGUAAUUAUUAUUAUUAAUUAAAGAAAUUUAGAAAUAGUAAAAUUAAAGAGUAUUGGUUAAAUUUGUGCCAGCAGCCGCGGUUAUACUAAUAAUACAAAUUAAUUUAAAUUAGUUGAAGUUAAUUUAUAAAAAUUAAUUAAAAAUAAAUUUAUUAGGUGGAAUUUUAAAUUUAUAAUAUUUUAUAUUAAUUAAUUGAAGCUUGAAAAUUUUAAAUUUAAACUAGGAUUAGAUACCCUAUUAUUUAAAAUGUAAUUUAUUAAACUAAAGUAGUAGUAGUUAUGUUCUUGAAACUUUAAAAAUUUGGCGGUAUUUUAGUCUAUUCAGAGGAAUCUGUUUUGUAAUCGAUAAUCCACGAUGGACCUUACUUAAAUUUGUUUAUUAGUUUAUAUACCGUUGUUAUUAGAAUAUUUUAUAAGAAUGUUAAUUUUUACAAAUUUUUAUAAGAAAAUAUAUCAGAUCAAGGUGUAGCUUAUAUUUAAGAAUUAAUGGAUUACAAUAAAUUUAUUUAGAUGAAUAUAAAUUUGAAAUGUUUAUUGAAGGUGGAUUUGAUAGUAAAUUUAUAAAGAUUAAUAAUUUGAUUUUAGCUCUAAAAUAUGUACACAUCGCCCGUCACUCUUAUUACUAAGGUAAGAUAAGUCGUAACAUAGUAGAUGUACUGGAAGGUGUUUCUAGAAUG